UACGAAGGGGGCUAGGCGUUGCUCGGAAUCACUGGGCGUAAAGCGCAGCGUAGGCGGAUUGUUUAAGUCAGGGGUGAAAUCCUCCGGGCGUCCAACCGGGGAAGGGCCUUGAAAUACUGGCGGUCUGGAGGGAGGUAGGGGCGUGCGGAACUGGUGGGUGGAGCGGUGAAAUGCGUUGAUAUCCACAGGAACUCCGGUGGCGAAAGCGACUUCCUGGUCGAAUACUGACGUUCAUGUGCGAAAGCGUGGGGAGCAAACAGG
rnacentral:rRNA from 1 species